rnacentral:lncRNA from 12 species
GGGGAAUCCUUGGAGCCUGGGCAGAGAUGCAAAUUGAGUUCUCUUACAGCGAACUGGCCUAGCCCCCAGAUUACAAGCAGCCCACACUCAGAUUUUAAUAAGCUUCAGGGCUGGUACUUCUUAGUAAUGAGCAGACUUUAAAGGGAAUGAAACCACCUCAUGAGUUUUAGUUCAUUUGUUGUAUAGAAGAAAGCACUCCGAUUAGUGAUGGGAAGAGCGGUAGGUAAUGUCUUGGAACCAACUGACGAGUUAAAAGAGGAUUUGGGAAUCAGACUAGUUCUCUGGCCUACUUUCCAGCUGAUAGAAUUUCAGUCUCUCUCUUCACAGAAUCAUAGUGUGUGAGCCCUUCUCUGAUCAAGAAAGAGGGUUCAAGACAAUGUCGUCUCCAAGCAGUGUUGAGUAAGUUCCUCCUUUAUCAGACGGAGCUAUUUCAUGCUUGAAGCCAUGGAAACUACUAUCAUGGAGAAUACUGUCAUUGAGAAGGCCACACCUGGAAGCAUUUUGGGAACUUCACCAUGAAAGAAUGUUUUGGGGGAACUCAGCAGCCAUCCUCCAGUUGAAGUAAAUACUCAUCUGUGUCCAAGCAAAUGCCCCAUGUCUACAUAUUUAAACCAUAUACUGCGGAGACAGUAAAUGUCAUGAGUCCUCACAUUUUCUUGGGUUAUAGGUAAAUGGAGAAGGAAUUGGCUUCUGGCAUUAUAGGAGGACCUAAAGCACAGAACCAUUGAGGACUCUGCAGAAUGCAAGGGAACCCCUGUCUUUGGAACGCCAAUGAGCCGAUCACCAUAGAAUAAGUCAAGUUGAACCAUUCCACCGUGUUUAUCUUCAGGUAUCUUGAAGCCCACACCGAGGAACACCUGGCUUCUAGUGAGAUCACCGCCCCUCCGACACGCAUGGAAUCAUGAUAUAUUCUCCUUUCAUUUUGGCCGCAGGACCAAGUGCAGAGUGGACUCCUUCUGGAUGUUGUAGUCGGACAGGGUGCACCCAUCUUCUAGCUGUUUGCCGGCAAAGAUCAACCUCUGCUGGUCAGGGGGGAUGCCCUCUUUUUCUUGGAUCUUCCCUUUGACAUUCUCGAUGGUGUCACUGGGCUCCACCUCCAGGGUGAUGGUCUUACCAGUCAAGGUCUUCACGAAGAUCUGCAUGCCCCCCUGAGGUGAAGGACCAGGUGCAGAGUGGACUCCUUCUGGAUGUUGUAGUCGGACAGGACGGAUGCUUCCAAUUCAAAUUCAGUUACUCCGAUUGUAAUAUCCUGGUUCUCCGGGCUCCUGGGUGGCUCAGUCAGUUAAACACCUGCCUUCGGUUUGGGUCGUAAUUCCCAAAUCCUGGAAUCCAGCCUCCAGUAGGGCUUACCACUCAGUGGGGAGCCUGCUUCUCCCUCUGUCUCUGCCUACCUACCACUCCCCUCUCCUUGUGCUCUCUCUGUCAAAUAAAUAAAUAAAUAAAUAAAUAAAUAAAUAAAUA